rnacentral:lncRNA from 1 species
AAAACAUCAGGUGUUUUUUUUCAGUAUUGUGGCUUGAAACCAGGGCCUGGUGCAUGCUAGGCAAGCACUCUGUCACUUAAUUAUAUACCCAGUCAGCAUCAGCUGAUUUUAUAAUGCAACCAGAGCUGAGGAUCUAGUUUAAGUUAAAGAUAGAAAAAAUAUUUUUACAUUCUCAUAAGGGCACUUUUGUCAAGAAAAUGUAGUGUUAUAGGAGUCAUAGGAGGAAAGCUUACUUGUCCUUUUCUAGAAACUGAAGCUAAGUAGUAGAAUUUGGAUGUAAUUUAUUGAUUUACUUUGAAUUUUUAUUCAUUCAAAUUAAACUAAGUCAGGUUAAAAAUUUUCAUAGAUCAUUCUUACACACCAAUUUUAUUUUGAACAAUACUGCAUUAUAAUUCUUCCUUUCUAAUUUAGUGUUGUGCCUCUGAGGACUUCUAAACUCUCCAUAAAAUUGUGUUCUGGUUUGAGGGGAGAAAUGUAGUUAUAACAAAGACAGAUGAGAGUUCCAUAUAUAGGUUAACAGCAUACUUGAACUAGACUAAUGACAAACCCUAGAUAAUAAACAAAAUACAGACUCCCAACUGAUAGUUUAAAAGUCAAUGGUGAAUCUUGAAACAUGACCUAUUCUAUUUUAGUUGGCCCUCCGUCCUCUUUAUUGUUUGUGGGUAUACUUAGUGAUAAGCCAGCAGCAUCAGCAAAGAACUUCUAAAAUCAACAUAAGUCCCCUUUCUGCCAUAUGAUUACACAUAUUACCUCAUCAAGCACCCCAAGAAUAUACCAGUUUCUGGAGAAUAAGCAGUAUAUUUUAACUAAGACCUAUGAACUAUCUUUUUUGUACCAGGGACACUUAAACACUAAGCCACAUCCCAUCCCUUUUUUAUUUUGAGAAAGGGUCUUGCUAAGUUGCUGAAGCUGGCCUUGAGCUUGUGAUUCUCCUGCCUCAGCCUACGGAGCUGCUGGGAUUAAAGGCAUGAACCACCAUACCCGGAGAUCUUUGCAUUCUUACAACACGAAGUAAAAUGGGAGUUGAAGUGGGGAAGCAUAAUGAGAUGGAAGAAUAUAGAAAGGAGACUGGUAAAAUAUAAAGAACAAAAUUAAAGGACAGAUAUUUUGUCAAAAUAUCAGGAUCUUUGAGAUUCUGACAUGUGAUUAGCUUCAGAACAAGAGCUGGAGCCUCAGUCUAUGAGAUGCUGUACUAGAAGUUCCUUAACAUUUUUUUUAAAAAAGGAAUUAGGUUUGUUUGCCUCUAAAACAGGUGUUUUUACAGAAAACCUUACUGAAAAAAUUGUCUCUUUUUAUCCAGAUAAAACAAAAAUAAUUUCUAGUUGGUUUACUACACUUCCACAAUUUCUUCUGGAGAGAGUAAUGUUGAGGAUUAAAAACACUCUCCCAGGCUGGAAUGGCAGUCUUAUGAAGCUCAUAUAUAUUUGACUGUAAAAUGCUGGCAGUCUUUGAGUUAUCUGUUCUCGCUCUCAGAGGAAAUGACAUCCUCCCUGGAAAGAAGAAUCUUCUGAACAACUAAAGAGUCCACCUUCAGCUCCAGUGUUGACAGGCAGUGUGGCUGAUGGUUGUAUGUUGACUGAGCAGGUCCUCUGGUGAAGAAUGAGCAUAAAAACAGAAGUGUUUUAAAUUCUGAAAUUUAUCUCACUGUGUUGAACAAUAACUGAAGUAUUGUUUAGACUAAGUAAUAUAUCCUCAAGUUCAGUAGACUUUAAAAUACCUACCUCUAGCUGUAGUUUGAUUAUUUCACUUUGUUUUUCCUUUUCUUGAGUUCUUAACUUUGCAUUUAACUCUGAUAUUUCCAUCUCCUUUUUCUCUAUUAGUUCCUUGUGCUUUUCUUCAUUUAAUUCAACUGAAUAAAACAAAAAUCCAUUCACUUAACAUUUCAAAAAUAUUA